GCGGUUAUGGUGGAAAUGGUAGACACGCAGCGUUGAGGUCGCUGUGGCUAUAUCAGCCUUGGAAGUUCAAGUCUUCUUAACCGCACCA
rnacentral:tRNA from 21 species